AGUAACACGUGGGUGAUCUGCCCUGCACUUUGGGAUAAGCCUGGGAAACUGGGUCUAAUACUGGAUAGGACCAUGCUUUUGUGUGUCAUGGUGGAAAGGCUUCUUUUUGGUAGCUGGUGUGGGAUGAGCUUGCGGCCUAUCAGCUUGUUGGUGGGGUAAUGGCCUACCAAGGCGUCGACGGGUAGCCGGCCUGAGAGGGUGUACGGCCACAUUGGGACUGAGAUACGGCCCAGACUCCUGCGGGAGGCAGCAGUGGGGAAUAUUGCACAAUGGGCGCAAGCCUGAUGCAGCGACGCCGCGUGAGGGAUGACGGCCUUCGGGUUGUAAACCUCUUUCGCUGGGGACGAAGCUUUUUUGGUGACGGUACCUGGAGAAGAAGCACCGGCUAACUACGUGCCAGCAGCCGCGGUAAUACGUAGGGUGCGAGCGUUGUCCGGAAUUACUGGGCGUAAAGAGCUCGUAGGUGGUUUGUCGCGUCGUCUGUGAAAUUCCGGGGCUUAACUUCGGGCGUGCAGGCGAUACGGGCAUAACUUGAGUGCUGUAGGGGAGACUGGAAUUCCUGGUGUAGCGGUGAAAUG
rnacentral:rRNA from 1 species